rnacentral:tRNA from 4 species
GGUGAUAUAGCUCAGAUGGUUAGAGCGCAGCACUCAUAACGCUGAGGUCGGUGGUUCAACUCCACCUAUCACCA